rnacentral:rRNA from 1 species
CUCAGGGAGGUAGUGACAAGAAAUAACAACACUGGAAAUUUUAUUUCUAGUGAUUGGAAUGAUGGGAAUUUAAACCCCUUUCAGAGUAACAAUUGGAGGGCAAGUCUGGUGCCAGCAGCCGCGGUAAUUCCAGCUCCAAUAGCGUAUAUUAAAGUUGUUGCAGUUAAAAAGCUCGUAGUUGGAUGUCUGCUGGAAGCAAUCAGUCCGCCCUAUUUGUAGGGUGUGCACUUGAUGAAUUCUGGCAUCUAUGUCCUAAUGUGAUAGAUACGGCGGUGUAUAUGGGUUAAUCCUAUAUACCCGUUUGUAUAUUAUAUUGGGAUAAUACCGUUACUUUGAGAAAAUUAGAGUGUUUGAAGCAGGCUAAUUGCCUUGAAUACUGCAGCAUGGAAUAACAAUAUAGGAUUUCGGUUCUAUUUUGUUGGUUUCUAGGACUGAAAUAAUGAUUAAUAGGGACAGUUGGGGGCAUUCGUAUUUAACUGUCAGAGGUGAAAUUCUUAGAUUUGUUAAAGACGAACUACUGCGAAAGCAUUUGCCAAAGAUGUUUUCAUUAAUCAAGAACGAAAGUUAGGGGCUCGAAGACGAUCAGAUACCGUCGUAGUCUUAACCAUAAACUAUGCCGACUAGAGAUAGGAAAAUGUCAUUUUUCUGACUU